AUCGCGACAGCUAGCUGGAGCUCAUCACCAAGCUAACUGAAAUGUGAAGAAUCGUCAAGAAUAAGAAUCAGCGUCACCACGAAUCCUUUAGAUUUAUUAUCGAAACUCAGAGGUUUCUCACAGAAAUGGCGACACCUACAGGCAACAGCGAAACACAGUGACGUCACCAACAGGUCAGAGAGGAUUAACAUGCGACGCAUUGAGAGCUAAUAGCUCUGAACUAUGUUUGAGUCGAGAAAGGGAAGCUCCGCCAGCUGAUCCGACCCGAUGAGCCCGACCCGAUGAGCCCGACCCGAUGAGCCCGACCCGAUGACCCCCAACCCGAUUCCUGGAUUUUUAUUGAGGUUUCCGUGAAUAAAAGCAGAAACGUUGGACAGCAAGACGCAGAGAACGACAGAGGAAGAAGAAUCGCAAAACAGAACGAGAGCAUCGCAUCAUCGGCGAAUGUUUGAGCAGAGAGGAAGCGUCUGGGUCAGGUGCCCCGAACGCAUCGCCACCGCAAACCUCAGCAGCUCAUUUCUACGAAACACUUCGUUCAGACAGCAAAAUAUC